UACGUAGGGUGCAAGCGUUGUCCGGAAUUAUUGGGCGUAAAGAGCUCGUAGGCGGUCUGUCGCGUCGGCUGUGAAAUCCCGGAGCUCAACUCCGGGGUCUGCAGUCGAUACGGGCAAACUGGAGUACUGCAGGGGAGACUGGAAUUCCUGGUGUAGCGGUGAAAUGCGCAGAUAUCAGGAGGAACACCGGUGGCGAAGGCGGGGUCUCUGGGCAGUAACUACUGAGGAGCGAAAGCGUGGGGGAGCGAACAGG
rnacentral:rRNA from 1 species